UACGUAGGGUGCGAGCGUUACUCGGAAUUACUGGGCGUAAGGCGUGCGCAGGCGGUGAGCUGUGUCCGAUGUGAAAGCCCCGGGCUUAACCUGGGAAUGGCAUUGGAAACUGGCUCGCUGGAGUGUGGCAGAGGGGGGUGGAAUUCCGCGUGUAGCAGUGAAAUGCGUAGAGAUGCGGAGGAACACCGAUGGCGAAGGCAGCCCCCUGGGCUAACACUGACGCUCAGGCACGAAAGCGUGGGGAGCAAACAGG
rnacentral:rRNA from 1 species